GACGAACGCUGGCGGCGUGCCUAACACAUGCAAGUGGAGCGACGAACCAGGGCUUGCCCUGGGGCCAAGCCGCGAACGGGUGAGUAACACGUGGGUAACCUGCCCCGAUGACCGGGACAACCCGAGGAAACUCGGGCUAAUACCGGAUGUGGUGGACACACUUAAGUGUGUCCACUAAAGGAAGCUUCGGCCUCCGCAUUGGGAUGGGCCCGCGGCCCAUUAGCUAGUUGGUGGGGUAAAGGCCUACCAAGGCAACGAUGGGUAGCUGGUCUGAGAGGACGAUCAGCCACACUGGGACUGAGACACGGCCCAGACUCCUACGGGAGGCAGCAGUGGGGAAUCUUGCGCAAUGCGCGAAAGCGUGACGCAGCAACGCCGCGUGAGGGAAGACGGCCU
rnacentral:rRNA from 1 species